UAGGAGAGUUUGAUCCUGGCUCAGGACGAACGCUGGCGGCGUGCUUAACACAUGCAAGUCGAACGGAAAGGCCCUGCUUUUGUGGGGUGCUCGAGUGGCGAACGGGUGAGUAACACGUGAGUAACCUGCCCUUGACUUUGGGAUAACUUCAGGAAACUGGGGCUAAUACCGGAUAGGAGCUCCUGCUGCAUGGUGGGGGUUGGAAAGUUUCGGCGGUUGGGGAUGGACUCGCGGCUUAUCAGCUUGUUGGUGGGGUAGUGGCUUACCAAGGCUUUGACGGGUAGCCGGCCUGAGAGGGUGACCGGCCACAUUGGGACUGAGAUACGGCCCAGACUCCUACGGGAGGCAGCAGCGGGGAAUUUUCCGC
rnacentral:rRNA from 1 species